GCCUGGGUGGCUCAGUUGGUUAAGCAUCUGACUUUGGUUCAGUUCAUGAUCUUGUGGUUUGUGUGGGUUCAAGCCCCGCGUUGGGCU
rnacentral:tRNA from 1 species